GGGGCCUGGGCGGUCCUCGGCCCCCGCCCGAGGGACGCCCGGGGGCGGGCGGGAGCCGCAGGGAAGCGCCAUUGCCGGGUGCCGUCAGCACGCGGAUGCUCUACCGAGUAGGGAUUGUCGCCCCUGAUCUGGAGGAAACGAAACCCAGGCGCGCGGGAGGUUAGGUCCUUCCUCUGUAUUACAUAAUUAGGAAAGGAUAAAGCCGGGGAUCUCGUCCUAGGUUAACUCCAGAUGCGCUCUUCUCGCCUCCCAGGCCUCUAUGGUAGCUGCUUUAAAAACAAACAAAAAAACACGCAUAAGACCUUUUUUUCUUCUUAUUAAAUAAUGAGCUUGCCUGUGCCCUGAACGUUAAGAAAAGAACACUUUCCUCCCAGGUUUCAUGACCUCGGCGUUCUGGUUGCCUUCGUGUUGUAUUGUGAGGGUCCCCAACCCAGGGGAUCUAAUGCCUGGUGAUGUGAGGUGGAGCUGAUGUAAUAAAAGAGAAAUAAAGUGCACGGUAGAUGUAAUGCACUUUCAUCAUCCAGGAACCAUAACCACCCCCACCCCCACCCCGCCCCCGCAACGUGGAAAAAUUGUCUUCCAUGAAAGCUGUGCCUGGUGCCGAAAAGGUUAGGGACCCCUAUUGUACUGGACUCAGGCAAGAGCCAUCCAACUGGUGUCUGAAGCUCCAGCCCCACGUCCUCAAUGUCUUCAGUAAUUCGCAACCGGAUUAAUAAUAAAAUGCUGGUAACAUUAUGUGAGCACGCUGAUCAAGAACUUUGCUAAGGCUCUCGGACUCCUUAGCUUAAUAAGCAUCGCUUCUUAUGACUCAGACCUCGAUUCAGAAACCCAGAAACCAUGCAGAAUAUGAUUGAGGAAAGCAUGCAAGAGAUCUAAGGCCUAGUCUUCAAUCUCUCAAUAAUGCAACGAGUAAAUUUACGCUUUCUCCAGUUGCGGCGAGCGGGGGCUACUCUUCGUUGUGGUGCUUGGGCUUCUCAUUGUGGUGGCUUCUCUUGCGGAGCACAGGCUGAAGACUCGUGGGCUUCAGUAGUUGUGGCAUGUGGGCUCGAUAGUUGUGACUCACG